rnacentral:tRNA from 1 species
GAAUGAGGCUUGCAGCUAAGAAACCUGCUAAGUUUCAACACCCUAGUUGGAUUCUAGGGCUCGUUCG